GCGUCGCACUCGGAAAGCAAAACCACCAGGUCGAGGCGACGAGUAAAACGCACGUUCGCUGCCAGCGCCGUGCGGUGAAGGGACCCGAGGCGGCUGCAACGACGGUUGCAAACGAGAUUUGGCGCGUGCGGCGGCGAUGGGCGAUGAGAUCUGCCAACGCCGGAGCUAACACGAGAUGAAUCUAAUCUUCUCCACAGAGGAUGACAAGAGAAGCUUCCAAAAAAGUUAUGGAUGGAUGAGAUUGGACCUUCUCAAAAUCCCAAGAGAAAGACUAAAAAGAGAAGGAAGAGUUCGGUGAAAAACAGAGAAGGGAACGAUGUAAAUGACAAGAAGCAGCAGAAGAAGAUUGUUGACAACACAAAGACGCCAGGGAAAUAGGAACGUGUUCUGGAUCUUAAGAGAGCGAAGUGGAAGUAGUGAAAAAGCAAGCAAAGAAGGUAUAUCACUACCAUAGAAACCCCAAUUGAGAUCCGCCUAUUAGUACCAAUCUUGCUAGCAUCAAUAGUGAUAAGGUAUCACCGUGGGUUUAUAACCACUAAUGGCAAUUUUUUUGAUGAUUUCGUUGGAACCGGCAGUGAUAUCACCUAUUUUACUGCUGGUUCAUAAUACGACCCGACAGUGGUAUAUUACUGCAGGUUCAUGGCUAAAACUGGUAGGGAUAUACACUUUAUCACCAUAGGUUGAUGCCAUAUGCCAUCGGUGCAAAAUAAGAUACUAAGUUUGGAAGUUGCAAAUUUUAGAUUAAGAAGAUAACUAUAAAAUAAGUUCAUGAUUGCACUAAGAAAUAUAUAAUUACACUAAAAAAUAAGAUCCUAAUCGAUUACAAAAUAUAUAAGGUACUGAU